CUGAACCAGCCAAGUAGCGUGCAGGAUGACGGCCCUAUGGGUUGUAAACUGCUUUUGUAUGGGGAUAAAGUCAAUCACGUGUGAUUGUUCGCAGGUACCAUACGAAUAAGGACCGGCUAAUUCCGUGCCAGCAGCCGCGGUAAUACGGAAGGUCCGGGCGUUAUCCGGAUUUAUUGGGUUUAAAGGGAGCGUAGGCUGGAGAUUAAGUCAGUUGUGAAAGUUUGCGG
rnacentral:rRNA from 1 species